UACGAAGGGGGCUAGCGUUGCUCGGAAUCACUGGGCGUAAAGGGCGCGUAGGCGGCUUGAUAAGCGUGCGGUGAAAGCCCGGGGCUCAACCCCGGGUCGGCCGUGCGAACUGUCGAGCUGGAGCACUGUAGAGGCAGGUGGAAUUCCGGGUGUAGCGGUGGAAUGCGUAGAGAUCCGGAAGAACACCGGUGGCGAAGGCGGCCUGCUGGGCAGUGGCUGACGCUGAGGCGCGACAGCGUGGGGAGCAAACAGG
rnacentral:rRNA from 1 species